rnacentral:lncRNA from 1 species
UCCACUUACAACUCUCUUUUUCUCUCAUUACAGGACAGCUCUGUCUUCCCCGUCAUCUGUUCUCCCAGUUCAGCAGCCAAGUUCCCAGUCCCCAGUCCCAGAACCUCAUGAUCCGCUCCUUCGGCAGCGCGCUCGUGUUGAUUUCCUUGUUCUUCUUCUGGGUGUCCGUGCAACCACAGCUAUGAGUGGCAGCUCAGUCUACUUUCCUGCUCCAGAGCUUCCCAGCCUCGCUGGGGGAAGUUAAGGAAGGCCGAUUGGUGUCCUUGCAAAUUCUCCCCCAUCUGAGGCCCUUCUGCUGCUCAGGAAUCUUCUUGUGCAUCUUGCGUGGACUAUCUGUCGAGUGUUCCUUCCAUUCUUUUCCCCGCCCCCCAGGAGCUCUGCACCCAGGCCUCACCCGGCACCACGUGGACGGGAGAUGACAGAAGUGGAAGGAAGGAAAGCCAUCACUUACCGAGGACCAGCGGUGAGCCCAGGUCUGCUUGGACGCUUCUCACGAAUGGCAUCGCAGAGGCUCUUCUUUUCCUCUGGUUCUCCUUGAAUCGCCAGUACUGGAGAUUGGCCCCAAUGGUGAACACACCUGCUGCUGAGUCAUUUGUGUGAGUAUUAGUAAUAAGUAAUAUCUAUCAAGCCCAUAACACAUGCCAGGUGUUUUACAGGAAGC